CCUGGCUCAGAUUGAACGCUGGCGGCAUGGCUAAAGCAUGCAAGUCGAGCGAGAAUCUAACUUCGGUUAGAGGACAGCGGCGAAAGGGCGAGUAACGCGAUCGUACGUACCCCAAGGUGGAGGAUAGUCACGGGAAACUGUGCGUAAUACUCCAUGUGCUCUAAGGAGGAAAGGCUUCGGCCGCCUCGGGAGCGGCGAUCGUCCUAUCAGCUUGUUGGUGAGGUAAAGGCUCACCAAGGCUUAGACGGGUAGCGGGUGUGAGAGCAUGACCCGCCGCAUCGGGACUGAGACACUGCCCGGACUCCUACGGGAGGCUGCAGCGACGAAUAUUCCGCAAUGGGCGAAAGCCUGACGGAGCAAUGCCGCGUGUAGGAUGAAGCGCCUUCGGUGUGUAAACUACUGUCAGGGACUAGAACCAACGAUCAGUCCCAGAGGAAGGACCGGCUAAUUCCGUGCCAGCAGCCGCGGUAAUACGGAAGGUCCAAGCGUUAUUCGGAAUCACUGGGCUUAAAGAGUGCGCAGGCUGACUAGCAAGUGUUCUGUGAAAUCCCACGGCUCAACCGUGGAACUGCAGGGCAAACUGCUAGACUUGAGGUAGGUAGGGGAAGACGGAACUAUCGGUGGAGCGGUGAAAUGCGUAGAUAUCUAUCGGAACGCCAAUGGAGAAGUCAGGCGACUGGGCCUGUUCUGACGCUGAGGCACGAAAGCGUGGGUAGCGAACGGGAUUAGAUACCCCGGUAGUCCACGCCCUAAACGAUGUGCACUAGGUCGUGGCAACUCUGACGUUGUCUCGACCGUAGAGAAAUCAUUAAGUGCACCGCCUGGGGAGUACGGUCGCAAGGCUAAAACUCAAAGGAAUUGACGGGGGCUCACACAAGCGGUGGAGCAUGUUGCUUAAUUCGAAGCAACGCGAAGAACCUUAUCCAAGACUUGACAUGCACGGAUUAGUUCAUGGAAACAUGAGUGACGCUCUUCGGAGUGGAACGUGCACAGGUGCUGCAUGGCUGUCGUCAGCUCGUGCUGUGAAGUGUCGGGUUAAGUCCCUUAACGAGCGCAACCCCUAUCGCUAGUUGCCAGCGGGUAAUGCCGGGGACUCUAGCGAGACUGCCGGUGUCAAACCGGAGGAAGGUGGGGAUGACGUCAAGUCAGCAUGGCCCUUAUGCCCAGGGCUGCACACGUGCUACAAUGGUGCAUACAGAGCGACGCGAGACCGCAAGGUGGAGCAAAUCGCAAAAAGUGCACCCCAGUUCGGAUUGCAGGCUGCAACUCGCCUGCAUGAAGUUGGAAUCGCUAGUAAUCGUAGAUCAGCUACGCUACGGUGAAUACGUUCCUGAGCCUUGUACACACCGCCCGUCACGUCAUGGAAGCCGGGAGUGCCCGAAGUCGCCGCGAUUCAGCGGUGCCCACGGCAAGUUCGGUGACUGGGACGAAGUCGUAACA
rnacentral:rRNA from 1 species